GAUGAACGCUGGCGGCGUGCCUAAUACAUGCAAGUCGAGCGAACAGACGAGGAGCUUGCUCCUCUGACGUUAGCGGCGGACGGGUGAGUAACACGUGGAUAACCUACCUAUAAGACUGGGAUAACUUCGGGAAACCGGAGCUAAUACCGGAUAAUAUAUUGAACCGCAUGGUUCAAUAGUGAAAGACGGUUUUGCUGUCACUUAUAGAUGGAUCCGCGCCGCAUUAGCUAGUUGGUAAGGUAACGGCUUACCAAGGCAACGAUGCGUAGCCGACGUGAGAGGGGGAUCGGCCGCACUGGAGCUGAGCCACGGUCCAGACGCCUACGAGAGGCAGCAGUAGGGAAUCUUCCGCAAUGGGCGAAAGCCUGACGGAGCAACGCCGCGUGAGUUAUGAAGGUCUUCGGAUCGUAAAGCUCUGUUAUUAGGGAAGAACAAAUGUGUAAGUAACUAUGCACGUCUUGACGGUACCUAAUCAGAAAGCCACGGCUAACUACGUG
rnacentral:rRNA from 1 species